rnacentral:rRNA from 1 species
UGCGUAGGGUGCGAGCGUUGUCCGGAAUUAUUGGGCGUAAAGGGCUCGUAGGCGGUCUGUCACGUCGGGAGUGAAAACACGGGGCUUAACCCCGUGCCUGCUUCCGAUACGGGCAGACUAGAGGUAUGCAGGGGAGAACGGAAUUCCUGGUGUAGCGGUGAAAUGCGCAGAUAUCAGGAGGAACACCGGUGGCGAAGGCGGUUCUCUGGGCAUUACCUGACGCUGAGGAGCGAAAGUGUGGGGAGCGAACAGG